rnacentral:rRNA from 1 species
CCCUUAGAUGUCCGGGGCUGCACGCGCGCUACACUGUAGAAAGCAGCGUGCUUUAAAACCUUUCCUGAAAAGGAUGGGUAACCCCAGCAUAAUUCUACGUGCUUGGGAUAGAGAUUUGCAAUUUUCUCUCUUGAACGAGGAAUUCCCAGUAAGUGCGAGUCAUCAGCUCGCGUUGAUUACGUCCCUGCCCUUUGUACACACCGCCCGUCGCUACUACCGAUUGGGAAAAUUUUAGAGAGUCCUGGACUGAUGAUUGUUCGGCUUCACGGCCUUACUUUCGUCGGGAAAGAAUUCGAUAAUAUUUUUCUAGAGGAAGUAAAAGUCGUAACA